UUGUCCUGUUUUCAAGGGUAGAAGAAUAGUUGCUUGGUCUGAUGCAGGCUGCAGCCACUGUGUGGGUCACAAAAGCACUCUGCAUGGCACCCACAUGCUUCCCACUGGGGCAAUUGUUUCCUUUCCACUUGUGUCAGCAUUUUGCCUGCAUUUGCAAACCAAAGGCCACAUCCUUAUGGAUCAAUUUAUUCGAGUGAUGAGCCAUUCAGGUGUUUUUUUUCCCUAGCAUAUGAAUACUGAGAAAGAUAGCAUAGCAUCUCCUAAUGAUUCAGUGUAAUGUUUUAAAAAGUCAGGGCUUAUUUCUAGAUGGAUGUGGUCAUAGUUUUCCCUUUUUAAGUGCAUAUGCCAAUUACAAUUCGACUGUACUGCCAUAUGAAUCAGAAGUGCCUAUGUAGAAACCUGCUGAUGUGGGAGUUUCAGGCAUGCUUUAGUAAAGAGAAGCUGUGACUCUACCCCAAGUGCAUUUCAGAAGACAAUCUCAUGCUCUGUUACAAAUAGAAAAAACAACUACCUGCACUAGGUACACAGCAAAGAUACUCUUUGCAUUAUCUAACCAUGAAGAAAGUAAGAGAGAAUGUUAUUUCACUUUGUACGAGUUCCUGUGAAGGAACCACAGAGCUACAGCCACAGGCUUUGUUGCAAAAGUGUAGUUUAGACACUUGGAGCUAUCUAUUCUUGGCAAUUAUAUAAUCCACUUUUAUAGUGAACCGUAUAGGAAGGGGACUGAUGAAUUUACCAUGCAAUAUAUCAAAAAUUAUGUGUCAAAAAUUCUAGGGCUAAGAGUUUCAUACAGCAGCUCCCUCAUGUCCCCAGGGCUGCACAUAUGAAAUCAGAACCAUUUGGCUGAGAAAAGACAGCACCAAUUAAAGAUGGAGUGUGGUUUACAUGUGGUGAGAAUCAUGUGGUAAGUUUCCACAGCUCUCAGUAGACCUACACUGCAGAGAACCUGGCUCCUUAGAUUCCUACAUGCCUUUUUGUCAAAGAUAAUUCUGCUCUUGGAGAUGCAUGACAGAAUCAGCAAGCUGCUGGGAAGCCCUGGAAGACACAAGACUAAAAAAGCUGGACUCAACACAGGUAGCCCCUCCGGGCAUCACCAGAAAUGAAGAGGUCAUCAAGGUAUCUACUGAGGAGCUGGUGAAAAUAUUCCUACAGUUCAACUGUUCUAGCUGAGCGGUGGCCAGAUUCAGCUGAGGUUGAAGUUAUCUAAAAUACAUACAGAUUUUGGUACACAUUACACAGUUUCUAAAAUUUUCACCAAAUUAACAGUUGGAAGUUUACUUGACUAUCAGGUGAACUACCUUGAGGAUGAAAAAUGCUUCAUAAAUGACAACGAGAAUUACAUGAUUUGUGAAUAAAUAAAAUUUAUGGUUUUAUUUGUGCUCCUGAAACUUGUUUUCAAAGAGCAGCGAUAAUCACACAUUCAGUAGUAGUAGUAGUAGUUCUCCAGUGUUUACAGUGUUCCACACAUUACUACGUCUUACAGCUCCACAGAAAACACAGCUCUGCACACCAGAAUUUUUAUGAGGAUGCUGUAAGAAACUUAUUCCAGAUUCUGUUAUUACUAAUCCCACUGUUAAGCUGCAAACCUACCUGGAUCUUCUUUACAGCUCUAGUGAAGUGAUUGAUACUGAAAUUUUCUCUCUAAGCAUUGUGAUGUCUGAUUUGCAAUAUUGGGUGACAUCUGUAUCUUCUGUUUUGACAUCUUUGGUUCUGCUCUGUAUAUCACAUACAUAUUUUUUACAUACAUAUUUAUGUAUAUCACAUAAAUAUUUUUUUCUCAUAUGUGUGUCAAAUGAAAUCCAAAGGGUGUUUCACUCUGUCUUACUCCAAAUUUCAUUCAGCAUUGACCUCUUUAUUUUACUCUUGCAGAUCUGGAAAAAAAUCUUUAUCAGCCUCCACCUCUUGACUUUUAUUUGAUCUUGGUAGGUCUCUCCAGGCAUCCUGGGACAACCUGCAAACUCCAGGGUGUUGACUCCUUUGCUGUUUCUGUGUUCAUUGUGAGAUGAAAUGCACUACUAGCACUAGGUUAAGUGUUUGUGACUGGUUAAACUUUGCACUGUGCAAUGAGGGUGAAUGAAAUUUAACAAGGCAAUGGAGUGAUCUCAAAGUAUUUGUGAAAAAAUUAAUAAGAAGGUUUCUUUCAGAACAUAUAAUUAAAAUGUCCUGUUGCCAUAUAUUUGUGUGUUUGUCUAUGUAUUGAAAAUGAUUGUCCUAUUUUUCUUCUUUAAGGAUUGGUACUAGAUUUUUAAGUUGCACACAAGCAUUCAAGGAAAAUGAUAUCUUUAGAAAUGUGGAACCUAGUUUUCCAUGUCAUGUAUUUAGUCAUAUCUAAUAAAUAUUUUUUGAAGUCUAGUGACUACA